AUUUUCUUUGUAAUUUUAGUGUGACCUGGCGUGGCGCAGUCAAUAGACCUUGAAUGAAAUUAAGUGGAAGGAUUUACAACCAGUCAGUGAUCUGAAUUUAUUUCGCAUUUUUUGUUUUUCAAAUACCAAUAUACAAACAGAACGUAUUGCUAACGCACGGUGAUAGUGUAAUUGUCACUUAAUUGAAAUUCAUUGAACUCUGCGUGUAAAUAGUCUGAAAUGAAACAAUCACCUAAUUUGUCAUGCUCCCUUUUAGGCGUAUUCGUAUUUGUGUGUCGGGUCAGUAUGCAUAUACUAGCUAUGUAAAAGCAACAGUUUCACCUUAAGUAUAGUGAAUCCUAUAGUACUACAGCACAGGGUGACUUAUUUCCUGAAUAUCCAUUUACUUUUAUUUGGUAUUAGAAUUUCCUCGAAAUGAGUCCAAAAGUCCUGCUCAUUACCCUCCUUUCACUUGAAAACCGGGUUCCAAGGCAUUCAUCGAGGGAUGAAUAAGAAUGAGUGUGAUUCUGUGCUAGAUCUCUGUUUUCGACAUACUGUGCACAAUAUCUUCUGAAGCUCUUUCGAAGAUACGAACUUCGGAUACAGUUGGAUAGCCCGUCGUCUCAUCUAAUAUUUGAAUUUACUAAAUGACUAAAAGUGCUGAAAGCUCCAGUGAAGAUAAGAGGAGGUAACAUUUCCAUGAUAAUCGGCUCUACAUAGCCGAUACGUACUUAAAUUUGUAUAGUCAAUAUUUCUCAAAACUAUCCAGAGAAUGUUGUAACAGCAAGUGAUUAGGGAAAUCCAGGAAAUUCGAAGGUAAAAUUAACAUUUUGCGGCAUCGAACCGUCCUCCAUCACGAACCCUGUAUGUAAAUGGCUUUAAUAUUCGUGAUUAAUUGGAAACUCCACCGCAGCGCUUAACUUAAACAGGUUCGAUUCGCAAGAAUACAAUGCCAUUGCUCGAAAAGCUGGUGUACUGGGUGGUCUAGUACACCUGUCCACAUGUUUCUAUUUUUCUAUAUUUCAUAUUUACAUAUAGUUGCAGACUGCUGUUGUCAUUGCUAUUGGAGGAGUUUUCGGGCAUGUCGCGACUCAGUCUGCGUUCUCCACUAUUGUUUGGUACUGUUGGCUUUGGCGGCAAACAAGUUAGCAUGUCAAAGUAUAAAAGCCAUUAAACUAACUGUCUACCUGGGGCUAUUUACAACAACUGCAAACAUAGAAUACACAACAAGCUUCGUUGUCAUGUACUGCUUGACCCAAUUCAUCGUAAUAUUUGUAUUUCAAGUUGAUACCGUAAAGCUGGCGAACUUGAUAAACAUUAAAUAGAUUAUUUGGAAUAAACUCUAUUGUUUUAUCAUAUUGAAAAAUAUGAGCUCAUAAAAAAACUUGCAUUCUCUACAUCUAUUUAUUAA